GGCUGUGUGGAGGAGCUGGAGUCCUCGCCGCCCUGUCACGGCGGAGAUCGCGGGUUCAAGUCCCGUCACGGUCGCAA
rnacentral:tRNA from 1 species